rnacentral:misc_RNA from 1 species
AAGUCGUAACAAGGUUUCCGUAGGUGAACCUGCGGAAGGAUCAUUAACGCGUAGGCCGCUGCCUGGCUACCUACCCAUGCCUCCCUCCGGGUCUCCCGGGGGUCGAAGCGGGGUACGCCGCCGGCCACAAAAUCGCCCAUUCUUGUCUACCUACCCGGUUGCCUCGGCGGUGCCGCGCGCCCCCCUCCCAGCUGAGGGGGAGCGCCGGCCAGGCGGGAGAUCCGUCUCCCUCCCGGUCCGCGCCCGCCGGAGGACCAUUUGAAAAACCCUUUUAAAUCAUCGUCUCCGUCUGAGCAUAACAAGCAAAUCAGUUAAAACUUUCAACAACGGAUCUCUUGGUUCCG